rnacentral:lncRNA from 12 species
AAUUGGGUUUAGGGGGAACGCAGGGUUAUAAGAGCAGGUUUAGGGAUCCCAUAGAGGAGUUUAGGGGGUUAUAGGGGUGUGGGAAUUGGGUUUAGGGGAGCACAGGGUUACAGGAGCAGGUUUAGGGAUCCCAUAGGGGAGUUUAGGGGGUUAUAGGGGUGUGGGAAUUGGGUUUAGGGGAGCACAGGGUUACAGGAGCAGGUUUAGGGGAGCUGUGGGGGAAGGUGAGGACUCUCAGGGUCCCCGAGCAGGUACAGGGGGGUUUGAGGGGUGUGGGGGGAUGGGACCCCCGCGUUUUUGGGUGUUCCAGGGGCAGCCGGGGGCGGGGUGUCGGGGGUGUCAUGUGCUGUUCGUGCUGACCUGGACUCACCCGGGGACAGGUGAGGGGGGCGCUUCUCACUCCCCCCUUCCCCUCUGCCCACCCCAAAUCCUACCCCUGACCUUUGACCCCGCCAAAAUGCCACCUGCGCCUCGGGGUGCCGGGGAGGGUCGGGCCGGGGGUUGUUCCCCCCCCCCCCCCCCCCCCCCCCCCCCCCCCCCCCCCCCCCCC